GAUGAACGCUGGCGGCGUGCCUAAUACAUGCAAGUCGAGCGAACAGACGAGGAGCUUGCUCCUCUGACGUUAGCGGCGGACGGGUGAGUAACACGUGGAUAACCUACCUAUAAGACUGGGAUAACUUCGGGAAACCGGAGCUAAUACCGGAUAAUAUAUUGAACCGCAUGGUUCAAUAGUGAAAGACGGUUUUGCUGUCACUUAUAGAUGGAUCCGCGCCGCAUUAGCUAGUUGGUAAGGUAACGGCUUACCAAGGCAACGAUGCGUAGCCGACCUGAGAGGGUGGUCGGCCACACUGGAGCUGAGACACGGUCCAGACUCCUACGGGAGGCAGCAGUAGGGAAUCUUCCGCAAAGGGCGAAAGCCUGACGGAGCAACGCCGCGUGAGUGAUGAAGGUCUUCGGAUCGUAAAACUCUGUUAUUAGGGAAGAACAAAUGUGUAAGUAACUAUGCACGUCUUGACGGUACCUAAUCAGAAAGCCACGGCUAACUACGUG
rnacentral:rRNA from 1 species